CCAACCGACUGAGCCACCCAGGUGCCCCUAUUGCUAAUUCUUAUAAAAUCAACAGGAAAUGAGAAAUAGAGCAGCAAAAAAAUUAAAUGCCCUGUUGGUUUUUAAUCAUUCUGAUAAUCUCAUUCCUUGUGCUACCAGUGUUAUUUUUAAGAGAAGGUGAAUAAAUAUGAACCCCCUUCCAAAACAUUGCAGGGCUCUGCAGUUUCCUCUGAGAACUCCUUUCCUUUUGAGGGUGGACUUGAACUCAACAGCAGGACAAACAUCACUAAGCAGGCCCCGUCCGUUAGCAGUCUGUGUUUUCGCCAAGGGCUUAUGGAUGGCAUUUCUUCACGACAGACAUAGUGGAACUAGUUGGACAUAUCACUGUAGACUGAGCUCUGAAUCUCCAGAUUGUGAGCAGUUUAAUUCAUACUCUCCAUGUAGCUUUGCUAUUGACAUUUAUUAGCCAAGAGUGUUGCUGCCAACACAAGUUUUGAGUAGAUUGUGGUAUAAACAGAUUUCCUCUUUACACAUUCUAAUCAGCGCAGAAGGAUUGUUUUUAUUGAAACCGUAUCGCAGCUUAAACUUCUCCACACAUGUAGGCACACAUGUACAGAGUUUAAAUUGUAUUUAUGGUUGGUAAAUGUUCUAAUUAUGGGGCUGCGUGUGUUCGGAGAGGAAAAUUAAAUCAGCAAACAUGGGACGCCAGGAUGCCCUUCCGCUCUGGAUUGGGUCCUUUACGGUUUCAGGCUUUGAGAAAUCAAUGCCGUGAAAUGGUGGGUGACAAUCCAGGCAGACAUUUGUCUCCUGGCUGAUUUACAGUGUUAUCUACAGAGCUUUUUUUUUUCUUUUUUUUCCUCCCUGAUGAAGUGAAAUUUGACUCCUUAUUGCCUGCUUCAUCCGAACACAUCACAGAGCAAUUGCCAACAAGCAGUUCUUCUGGAUAAUGUCCUGGGCCUCAUUUUCCAUAUUAGAACACGUGGAAUGCUAAAAUCAAAAAGAUGCAUUUCAAAAUAUUGAACAGUGAAAUGUCAUGUUAUCUGUGAUCGCUUUGAAAGACUUCAGCAAGGGAAAAAAAGAAUGAAGCAAGUAAGUAUCGCAUUCAUAAUUAUUAAAUUUGGGUGAUGUGA